rnacentral:misc_RNA from 1 species
GAUAUCUUUGCAAAGAUGAGAUUCACACAACCUCCUCAGUCGUGUUAAAUCAUACCGAUCAGCUGCUGAUAACAAUUUUGCUGUCAGAGUGUCAGAUAUACAGGGGGUAGUAGAAGUUCUAGUUGCCUCUAGCUCUUCUUCUACAAGAGCAUCUUUGUAUAUGAAGUGCAGCAUAGCUUUGAAGACCUUAGGUUCCAUAUCAUUGACCACAAUUUCCUGCGCAUCGCCUUCAUGUCCACACAAGAAUUCAGUGUGGAAUACAGGAGAACGAGCAGCCAAUAUCAACUUAUGGGCAUGAAACAUUUCACCAGACACAUUGAAAAUAACAUCUGAAGCUUCCAUAUUUUCCAAAAGCAUGCCAAAAUGUGUUCCCAUGUCCGAGUCUGGGACCUGAAUUGUAUGCAAGCUCGAACACUCUAUUGUGGAGCGCACGACUCCAACAGUGCAAUUAAUCUUCAAGCAGUCAUCCUUCAAAUACUCUGAAGUCUCAAGCAAGGCUCGUCUAAAAAACCGUUUGUAUCCCCACAUGCUGCCG